rnacentral:rRNA from 1 species
UACAGAGGGUGCAAGCGUUAUCCGGAUUCACUGGGUUUAAAGGGUGUGUAGGCGGGCUGUUAAGUCAGUGGUGAAAUCUCCGGGCUCAACCCGGAAACUGCCAUUGAUACUAAUGGUCUUGAAUUUUGUUGAGGUAGGCGGAAUAUGUCAUGUAGCGGUGAAAUGCUUAGAUAUGACAUAGAACACCGAUUGCGAAGGCAGCUUACUAAGCAAAUAUUGACGCUGAGGCACGAAAGCGUGGGGAUCAAACAGG